CAGCAUGCCUACCGCCUGCUCGUCAGCCAGAGGAGGCCCGCUGGCAUCUCCUACAGGCAGUUUGAAGGCCUCAUGCGCUUCUACAAGCCCCGGAUGAGUGCCAGGGAGCGCUAUCUUACCUUCAAGGCCCUGAAUCAGAACAACACACCCCUGCUCAGCCUAAAGGACUUUUACGAUAUCUACGAAGUUGCUGCUUUGAAGUGGAAGGCCAAGAAAAACAGAGAGCACUGGUUUGAUGAGCUUCCCAGGACGGCGCUCCUCAUCUUCAAAGGCAUUAAUAUCCUUGUGAAGUCCAAGGCCUUCCAGUAUUUCAUGUACUUGGUGGUGGCAGUCAACGGGGUCUGGAUCCUCGUGGAGACAUUUAUGCUGAAAGGUGAGCCCCGCUCGGGGACUGGCCAUGUCCUGGCCGGCACACCUGGCUUGCCUGUGAGCUGCUACUUCUCUGUCUUACAGGUGGGAACUUCUUCUCCAAGCACGUGCCCUGGAGUUACCUCGUCUUUCUAACUAUCUAUGGGGUGGAGCUGUUCCUGAAGGUUGCCGGCCUGGGCCCUGUGGAGUACUUGUCUUCCGGAUGGAACUUGUUCGACUUCUCCGUGACAGUGUUCGCCUUCCUGGGACUGCUGGCGCUGGCCCUCAACAUGGAGCCCUUCUAUUUCAUCGUGGUCCUGCGCCCCCUCCAGCUGCUGAGGUUGUUUAAGUUGAAGGAGCGCUACCGCAACGUGCUGGACACCAUGUUCGAGCUGCUGCCCCGGAUGGCCAGGUACUGCCAGCCCCCACCCUGGCCUGCAGGUCCAGGUGCCGUGUGGCAGUGCCCCGUGGGGGCGGGAGCUGAGUGGCAGUCGGGGGAAAGGAGUUCCACAAAGGACUGCAAUCGAGGGCCUGAUGGGGCUCCAAGGAGCCUGGAAUCUUGACCACCACAGGUCUCCUGGGCACCAUUUUUCUCCACUGACCUGUCUGACAUAUUUAGUAGGGAGGGCAGGGAGCUGUCAACUUGCUUACCACCUGUGUCUACAUUCACAGGUAAGGGGUCACCUGUGAGUCUACCUUCACAGGUAAGGGGUGAAUCUCUGGGAAAGGGGCAUUUGUUCAUAGCGUCCUGACUUGAGCUGUUUUUCACCCCAGAGCUGCCCCACGAGGCCCCUUCCCCGCAGGCACUUUCCAGUUGGUGAACCGACCAGGGGCAUGGCCCUGCAGUCAGCCCCAUGGGUCCGAGGAGGCCGGGGCUGUAGAGGAGCCGUUCCCUCCUGCCGGCCCCGCGUCACCCUGCCCCUGUCACCCCACAGCCUGGGCCUCACCCUGCUCAUCUUUUACUACUCCUUCGCCAUCGUGGGCAUGGAGUUCUUCUGCGGGAUCGUCUUCCCCAACUGCUGCAACACGAGUACAGUGGCAGAUGCCUACCGCUGGCGCAACCACACCGUGGGCAACAGGACUGUGGUGGAGGAAGGCUACUAUUAUCUCAAUAAUUUUGACAACAUCCUCAACAGCUUUGUGACCCUGUUUGAGCUCACAGUUGUCAACAACUGGUACAUCAUCAUGGAAGGCGUCACCUCUCAGACCUCCCACUGGAGCCGCCUCUACUUCAUGACCUUUUACAUUGUGACCAUGGUGGUGAUGACGAUCAUUGUCGCCUUUAUCCUCGAGGCCUUCGUCUUCCGAAUGAACUACAGCCGCAAGAACCAGGACUCGGAAGGUUUGUGCAGCGAUGAUGCCUUGGGCAUUUGAUGUCUGCCGCCUACCCAGCUCUGUCUGUCUGUCUGGGUGGCUGUCCACCCAGCCAUCAGGCUGUCAUUUUUCUUCUGUCUGGUUGUCCAGCUUAUCUAUCUGGCUUGUCUCUCUAGAUCUUGUAUUUGCAUUGAUUUUCAAAUAUUUAAUGUCAGAAAACAUGAUCUAACUUUAAAAUAAGACAGAGCAUGUCAUAGUUGGAGAAAAAUCAAGAAGUAGAGAAAGGCUUAUGUGGCAGCAGCAGCCCCUGCCCUGCCUUUCCCUCCCGUCCUCCAGAGGCUUCUCCUUCUUAGCUAUUUCUUCUGUUAGUCAUCUCCACGUUUCUCAAUAAUAGGUUCACACUACGGUUCUUGAUUUAAAUGGUGUAAAUAUUGUUUAUGGCACAGGCGAAUCGUAUUCCUGCUGCAACUGGAUGGUGCUGGCUUUAGUGAUUGCCUCACUUUUCCCAGAUUGCACAGCUUUCUGCGUACUGACCGUCCCUUCUUCCCAAAUUCUCCAUCAAAACUGUCCGUACUUGAUCUCUUGAGCCCAGGAGGUCAAGACUGCAGUGAGCCAUGAUCACACCACUGCCCUCCAGCCUGGGCAGCGGAGUGAGACCCUGUCUCUUAAAAGAAACAGAAAACCCUGUGCCCACACUUGUUACUUCUCAUCCUCAGAUCUCUGUGCUAUCAGACCAUCUGACCAUUUUCUCUGUACUUAGAGGCCCCUUCCUGAAACCCUCUGGCCCUGUAACAGCUGCCAGCUAGACCUGCGCUCCUGACAUCAUAGCAGAGGGAGGGGAAGGGAAGGGAGGGCCAAGGAGGAGAGCAGGACACCAAUGCAGUGUCAGUGUCAGUUUAGAGAGAGAACCUUAAGACCCCCUGCGGAGGGGGGCAAAGAGGUACGAGACCCAGCCAGGUUGGCAGCUCCAGCCCCGGGCCUUUCCCACACCCGCCUUCCAUCCCUGCAGUUGAUGGUGGCAUCACCCUUGAGAAGGAAAUCUCCAAAGAAGAGCUGGUUGCCGUCCUGGAGCUCUACCGGGAGGCACGGGGGGCCUCCUCGGAUGUCACCCGGCUGCUGGAGACCCUCUCCCAGAUGGAGAGAUACCAGCAACAUUCCAUGGUAUUUCUGGGACGGCGAUCAAGGACCAAGAGCGACCUGAGCCUGAAGAUGUACCAGGAGGAGAUCCAGGAGUGGUAUGAGGAGCAUGCCAGGGAGCAGGAGCAGCAGCGACAGCUCAGCAGCAGCACAGCCCCCGCCGCCCAGCAGCCCCCAGGCAGCCGCCAGCGCUCCCAGACCAUUACCUAGCCCAGCGCCCGAAAGCCGUCUCUUCUAUGCAAUAACACAAUAGUAUUACUCU
rnacentral:sRNA from 1 species